rnacentral:misc_RNA from 1 species
AACCAUAGAAACCUGCGGAGUACCUGCGGAAGGAUCAUUAACGAGAUAGGGUCCCCCCGGGGCCCGACCUCCCCACCCCUUGCUGUCGCGAAACACGUUGCCUCGGCGUGGCCCGCAGUCCCCCCCCACUGCGGCCGGACCCCCCCGGGGACCGGACGGCGCCCGCCGGAGGACCGACCAACCCCUGUCUUAAACCGUGGUGUCGGAGUACGAAGCGUACCAAUCAAACAAAACUUUCAA